CCGUCACACCACGAGAGUUUGUAACACCCGAAGUCGGUGGGGUAACCUUUAUGGAGCCAGCCGCCUAAGGUGGGACAGAUGAUUGGGGUGAAGUCGUAACAAGGUAGCCGUAUCGGAAGGUGCGGCUGGAUCACCUCCUUUCUAUGGAGA
rnacentral:rRNA from 1 species